CUCCACCUGGUUCUCUGUCUGGUGUUAGUGUGCUUCAUCCUGCCCUAGUAAAGGUUCUAAAUCCACCUCUCCACCUGGUUCUCUGUGUGGUGUUGGUGUGCUCUCUCCUGCCCCGGCAAAGGUUCUAAUUUUAUCUCUCCACCUGGUUCUCUGUCUGGUGUUAGUGUGCUCCAUCCUGCCCCGGCAAAGGUUCUAAUUCCAUCUCUCCACCUGGUUCUCUGUCUAGUGUUAGUGUGCUCCAUCCUGCCCCGGUAAAGGUUCUAAUUCCAUCUCUCCACCUGGUUCUCUGUCUGGUGUUAGUGUGCUCCAUCCUGCCC